GCGAUGACCUGUGGUCGACAGUAUGUUAGCAUUCUGUUUGUCGUGGUCCCUGUUUCAAUUGCAGCACACCUCCAGGACCAGGUAAAUGGCCAUAAGGAUGGUCUGUCGGAAGAUAGGCGUCAUUCCCCCUUUGUUUUUCCCCUCAUCUCUUCAUGUUCAUCUCUGAUUUCUUAUCUGAAAUAAACAGCUUCCACGUCUGUGCCUUUGCGAUCGCAUUCCCAACAAUUGAUUUAAAACGUUGCCAGUUACACCUUCUCCACCUGAAAGUGUGCUUCUAAGGACAGCACAUCUCAAAAUCUGUUGUGAAGACACCGGUUGGCUCAGGAAUAUUAACUUGCACAUACGAGGAAAGCGACACUGCAGUGAGCCAUUCACAGCUGCAGAGGCCUGCCUACUGACCCCACCAAUUAAUAUUCUUUAGUUUGAAAAAGAAAAUCGAAACCAGCGAAUACCUCCAGACCUCGCCCUUAAAACCACAACUUGGGGUGACAGUGGGGACACUACCACCCAUCAGAGGAGUUUCACCCUAUUAUUCUAGCAAGGGCAUUGACAAGGCAUCGACUAUGUAUUCAUCUCAAUUACUCUAGUUAUUUGCUCUCAAUCCAUAUCCGUCCUUUAGGUUACAAACUGCUGUUAAACUUCUUCUAAAAAUAAACUUCACGUGAUCUUUCUUUCCAUGUCAAUGUCUUUGUGCAGGAAUUUACUUCGUGGGGCAGAUGUUUCUAUAAGCCCAGCUGAUUGACAGCUUGAAUGAUUAAAUGAAACAAAGAUGGGAAUGCAAAAAGAGGUGACUAAGUUGUGUGUGGAGCUACAGCCUGUGUGGUAGGGACAAAGAAGUGUUGCGGACUUAUUACAUUUAAAAAAAAAUUACCUGAAAGGAUAUUCCAUGUAAGAGAUGCACAAACUAUGACCCAGGGGCUGAAUCGGGCCCUCUGCCAGUACUUGUAAAUAAAGUUUUAUUGGAACACAGCUAUGCCCAUUUGUUCACAUAUUGUGUAUGGCUGCUUCCCUGCUCUAGUGGCACAGUUAAGUAGUUAUCACAGAGACUGUACGGUCCACGAAACCAUCUAGCACUUUAGAGAAAAAGCCUGCAGACCCAUCUUGUAUAUGAUAGAGGGUCACUAGAUGACUAUGAAUACUUAGGCCUUUUUUGUUGUUGUUUUCUGAGUUGUGUAGUCAGAGGUAUCAUUAUAAUUGCAUUUAAGGAAUGUCCCUAAAUGCUCUCCAAAUCUUCCUAGAGUAGACAUGGCAGGAAGGCAUCUUGGGGAUACAGGGGUGUGGAACCCCGAGUUCCCAGGGGACAAAAUGGAUCACGCCAUAUAAGGGUGGUAUAUGAUGACACAGUUGGAAGCAGAAUCUGGACACCACCAAGGACGGAAGCCAGGGAAGCAGGGCUCGGAGUGAGAAGCACGGUGAAGCUAUAAGUGGAGGGAAGAAUAGUGCAGAUUAAUCAUAGGUCAGGAUGCGGAGCAGGAAGUGGUCAGAGCAAGCUGUCAGGACUAAGACCUUGAGGGAGAAAAGAAGGAUGUUGGAUACUUUCUGCUGGCCUGGCGGAAGGGUGACUCAGUUGCCCCAAUUUGGACUUUCUGGGUUGUAAAAUGGAAGGUCCUGCCUCUGGGAACCUUCUCAGUCUGUCCUAAUGCUAAAGCUGGACAGGAAGCUGGGAAAUCAACCUGAAAAGAAAAAUCUGAAGUCCAGUAGCCACGCUUUCCCAGCGCUCAGUCUCCUGUCCUUGGAGAACUUGCAUAAAAAGCAGGGAGCCACUCUGCAGCUCCUGGGACCACUUGGAGCCCCUGGAGAAAGAGAGGGGCUCUGUUCUCAGUGAGCAAGUGGUUUCGCUAUGAGAGCAAGCACCAUGUGAACAGGAAGAGAAUAACCUCGAAACAACCUGUAAACAAGUGUGAGGUCAUCCGUCCUAGUGGACAGUUUCAGGCCUGGCCUUUUCACCCCAAAGCCAGGCAGCAUUUUUUCCAGAAUAGCUGACCUGCAUGACUUGAUUACUGCCUGUCACUCUGAACUCUCUGCUUCAAUUUUCCCAAACUCCCCAGCCAUCCCAAAUCUCACUCAAGUUUUAAGUUUAAUUCCUUUUGUCUUAAUCAGGAGCACCAAUCCGACUUUUUGGGCCCCGUGAGUGUAGCUAUGGUUUCACUCAUCAAUCCAUCAGUAAAUCAGCCCAUUAUCAACUAUUUGUGGAGCUGUUCCUAUGAGCUGGGCACCAUGCUGAGCUUGGGGUGAAGGGCUGAAUCAUAGAGACAGGACCUCUGGCCUCAUGGAAAGAAAGGGGAAACCCAGAAACAGAGAGUGGAAAAUUUCAGAUUGUGAUGUGUUUCGAGAGAAGCCAAAGAGUCACUGUGGGCUGGGGUGAGGAUUCUGUCCCAGGUGGAGUGGCCAGAGAACGUCCUUCUGCAAAGGUGACAUGUUAGCCGAAUGUCAGAAGCUGAGAAGGACUGUGUGGCUCCGUGAACUAUAAGAUUUGGAAGUUCAAAGACAGAGACUGUUGAUUCCCCAUUGCUGGACUGAGAAGCAGACCAGUCUACAGUCUCACUGGGAUGCCCGUGUGGCAGGCAGAAGAAUGUGAACAGGUCCUCUUCUCUUUUUCAUUAAAUACUCUCCCUGCAGAGAGGGAUGGACCGGAAGUUUGGGAUCAAAGUUACAAAUGGAUAAACAAGAUACUGUUUCUAGCACAGUGUCUGCUUUGUCUGAGAAACAGCAACCCUGGGCAACAAAUCAAAAGGAUGAAAACAGAAGAGCAUACUCUGAACUACAGAAUGUCACCAGACAAUUAUUUUCAGGGACCAGACCAUCUAAUGUCAGGUUUUGAUGAAUUCUUAAUAACAUCUUCGAUGAAAGAAUUGUUUUUCUGUCUAGGAAGGUGCUUUAGUAGUGGUGAAGUGUGUACAGGGUUCAGGAGUCAAAGGUACCAGAAUUGGAAUUCUGGUUCUAUCUUUUCCUGUCUCCCUUACGUUGGGAAAAUAACUGAAACUCUGUGUUUCAGUUUUCUCAUCUGCAAACUAUGGAUGUCACAGGAUUGUUGUAAGGAUUCUAUAGGACCAUAUAUUAGUGUGCUUAGAACUGUGCUGGGCAUAUAGGAUGAGCUCAACAGAGCUUAGAUGCUAUCAUCAUCUCCAUUACAAAUACACAGCAGGAUAGGAGGCAGAAGCUUUUUUUCCAGCUUUUUGGGGCCAUACAUGCAGCAUAUGGAAGUUCCCAGGCUAGGGACUGAAUCAGAGCUACAGCUGCUGGCCUACACCACAGCCACAGCAACACCAGA